AGAGUUUGAUCCUGGCUCAGAACGAACGCUGGCGGCGUGGAUAAGACAUGCAAGUCGAACGAGAGAAUUGCUAGCUUGCUAAUAAUUCUCUAGUGGCGCACGGGUGAGUAACACGUGAGUAACCUGCCCCCGAGAGCGGGAUAGCCCUGGGAAACUGGGAUUAAUACCGCAUAGUAUCGAAAGAUUAAAGCAGCAAUGCGCUUGGGGAUGGGCUCGCGGCCUAUUAGUUAGUUGGUGAGGUAACGGCUCACCAAGGCGAUGACGGGUAGCCGGUCUGAGAGGAUGUCCGGCCACACUGGAACUGAGACACGGUCCAGACACCUACGGGUGGCAGCAGUCGAGAAUCAUUCACAAUGGGGGAAACCCUGAUGGUGCGACGCCGCGUGGGGGAAUGAAGGUCUUCGGAUUGUAAACCCCUGUCAUGUGGGAGCAAAUUAAAAAGAUAGUACCACAAGAGGAAGAGACGGCUAACUCUGUGCCAGCAGCCGCGGUAAUACAGAGGUCUCAAGCGUUGUUCGGAAUCACUGGGCGUAAAGCGUGCGUAGGCUGUUUCGUAAGUCGUGUGUGAAAGGCGCGGGCUCAACCCGCGGACGGCACAUGAUACUGCGAGACUAGAGUAAUGGAGGGGGAACCGGAAUUCUCGGUGUAGCAGUGAAAUGCGUAGAUAUCGAGAGGAACACUCGUGGCGAAGGCGGGUUCCUGGACAUUAACUGACGCUGAGGCACGAAGGCCAGGGGAGCGAAAGGGAUUAGAUACCCCUGUAGUCCUGGCAGUAAACGGUGCACGCUUGGUGUGCGGGGAAUCGACCCCCUGCGUGCCGGAGCUAACGCGUUAAGCGUGCCGCCUGGGGAGUACGGUCGCAAGAUUAAAACUCAAAGAAAUUGACGGGGACCCGCACAAGCGGUGGAGUAUGUGGCUUAAUUCGAUGCAACGCGAAGAACCUUACCUGGGCUUGACAUGUAAUGAACAACAUGUGAAAGCAUGCGACUCUUCGGAGGCGUUACACAGGUGCUGCAUGGCCGUCGUCAGCUCGUGUCGUGAGAUGUUUGGUUAAGUCCAGCAACGAGCGCAACCCCUGUUGCCAGUUACCAGCACGUGAAGGUGGGGACUCUGGCGAGACUGCCCAGAUCAACUGGGAGGAAGGUGGGGACGACGUCAGGUCAGUAUGGCCCUUAUGCCCAGGGCUGCACACGUACUACAAUGCCCAGUACAGAGGGGGCCGAAGCCGCGAGGCGGAGGAAAUCCUAAAAACUGGGCCCAGUUCGGACUGUAGGCUGCAACCCGCCUACACGAAGCCGGAAUCGCUAGUAAUGGAGCAUCAGCUACGGCGCCGUGAAUACGUUCCCGGGUCUUGCACUCACCGCCCGUCAC
rnacentral:rRNA from 1 species